UGGCUCGUAGCUCAGGGGUAGAGCACCACCUUGACAUGGUGGGGGUCGGCGGUUCGACACCGCCAGAGCCAA
rnacentral:tRNA from 1 species